rnacentral:lncRNA from 10 species
CUUUGAAUUCCUGGGCUUGAGCGACCUCCCCACCUUAGCCUCCUGAGUAGCUGAGACUACAGAUGUGCCUUGCUUCUCCUUCAUUUUCUGCCAUGACUGUAAGUUCCCUGAGGCCUUCCCAUCCAUGUGGAACUGCAUUCUAAUAUAUGCAUUCUUCAUAACAACUGUGUGAAACAUAUUAAUAUCCUCAUUGUUAACGAUGAAGAAACUAAAUCUCAGGAAGAAAAACUAAGUGAAGACAAAAGAAGGAUUUGAACUGAGGUUUGUCAGACUCUCGGGACCAUGCUGUUGAAACCACUAAACCACGCUGCCUCUGGGUCACUUGAUUAUUCUGGGAGAUUCUGGGAGUCUUUUCUCCAACACUCCAGUGGCAUCUGACUAUGUGAGCUGAUAAGAUCUAUAGAUCUUUGCUGAACCUGAUUCUGGAAGGUACAACAAUUUCGGCCAUCUUCCUAAUCAAUACUGUGAGAUGGGACCAAAUUGAUUGUGUGGUACAUGAAGCACAGCCCAGGAAAA